CAAUAGCGUAUAUUAAAGUUGUUGCGGUAAAAAAGCUCGUAGUUGGAUUUCUGUUGAGAGCGACCGGUCCAUACCAUGUAUGCGUAUCUGGCUUGCUCUCGGCAUCCUCUCGAUAGACGUUACUGCGCUUGAUUGCGUGGUGCGGAUCUCGGGACUUUUACUUUGAGGAAAUUAGAGUGUUCACGGCAGGCUUUCGCCAGAAUACAUUAGCAUGGAAUAAUACUAUAGGAUCUUGGUUCUAUUUUGUUGGUUUCUAGAAUUGAGAUGAUGAUUAAUAGGGACAAUUGGGGGCAUUCGUAUCAACACGUCAGAGGUGGAAUUCUUGGAUUGUGUUGCGACGAACUACUGCGAAAGCAUUUGCCAAGGAUGUUUUCAUUGA
rnacentral:rRNA from 1 species